rnacentral:tRNA from 1 species
AUCACUUUGGCAGAUUAGUGCGCCGGAUUUAGGAUUCGAAUAAAUAGUGUAACACUAUAGGUGGUA